GGCUCCGGAACUCUCGGCGGCUAACGGGCACCAACUCUCUGCCUCUGCCGUCUGGUCGCCAUAAAACCGCAGCUAUUGUCGCCCUUCCUUUGGGGGAGACUUCAGCGCUGGGCGCGCACAGGGAAGCCGGUGUCCCAGACCAUCCUUCUCUCCCUGGGCCGAGUCGCCUGCUUGGGGCCUGAGCUGUCCUGGACUUCUCCUCCCAGAUAGACCUGAGAUACAAAAAGAAGACCUGCACAUAUAUUUGUGAUUUAGCCAAGGCUCAACAUUAGAAACUGAAUUGAUGCUUCGUGAUAUUGGUCUCUUUUUGAUCAAAAUAUAAAUGGAAGAGAGUAUAAUUAAG